CAUGAUAUCAACUGUGUUGUCUCAGCUACAACUGAUACGAUGUACUUGCAAUUGCCUCCGCUUCCUUCUAGCAGAAAGAAAACAAGUCUGAACAGGUUGAUGGCCAAUAUCAGGGAGCAACAAACUUUAGCAGCUUGGAGUUGAACCAAGAAGCAACUGAUAAAGAUGAGAUUGAGAAAUGCAAAAACAUUCUUCGAGAAACAGAGGACGCUGAUAUCUUGCCAUCCUUUCCAAGAUUGAAGUGAAUGGAAAUCUGCAAGAGCAGCAUGAAGUACCUUGUUCAGUUUGUAAUGAACAACAGUUUUGUAGCUACGACAGGAGAGUGGAUAUCCACCGAGGCAAAGGCAACAAGAGACUCCAGAUGACAAAUCAUGUCCCUUCUUUCAUGCACAUGUUUCUUGGCUUAACCUGCUUUCUGUAAGUGUUGCACUACAGCUGGGCCUCUCUGAGCCUUGGGCGCCAAGAAAUCCAACGCAUGGAAGUGAGCUUAAAAUAUGCUUUGUUGGUGGUGAUCACUAUUUCCGUCAUCUCGAUGAUGGCACUGAGGUUAGAAAAAAACUCGAAUUGCGUGGAAAGCAAGAAGGUGAUGCCGAACAGCUACAGUGUCGGAGGUGCAUUUCCUCGUCAGCACGAUGCGACUAGUUUCAAGUAAGUCGACUGUUCUGCUGACUUUUUCUACAUGCUGAACUUUCAGACUGGAAUUGGCUGAUGGAUCUACAGAUACUUAAGCAGGUUCUGCUUUCUCUUCGAUGAACUUUCAGACACAACAUACCUUAGAACUGAUAGCAAAAGUCUGAUGUGGCACCAAUACUGUGUCGAGUGUCUAAACUGGUACAUUCUCGGCCAUGAUUGAAAUGUGAUCACUCCACUUGCCUGCUAUAAGACAGAGUACCUUUAGACCAUCGUGCACCAUUCUCUCGCGUGCAGGCGGGAAGUGGGAGACAGAGAGCCAUGGAGCAACGCUGCAAGGUGAAUAAUAAUAUUGCUGUGCUUUUCCUAAAAGGAGAUGCCACCACUUCCAUGGCCUUCCUCAUAUCCCAACUCGACUGCAAGGUGAAUAAUAAUAUUGCUGCAAAUACAUAUUUCUUCUUUUCUUGCUGCAUAUGACAUGACAGAUGGAAGAACCAGGAAAGGUGACAGUCGCUCAUGGAUCGAUCAUGGUGCUGCCCACUACCAAUCUCUUGGGAAGAGAGAAUCCUCACAGCUGUACUCGACUCCUGGGUCGACUACGAACUCCUGGAAAAGCUUAUCGUGACAGUGGAACCGCACCUAUUUGGCAAGAGAGGGACAAGUGCAUCGAAAAGGAGGGACGCAAUGGCAUUUACCAGACGAGGAGGCCCAUGUCUCGAGGCGCCCGGCCCGGCCCGGCCCGGCCCGGCCAUCAUGCCACGAGAGCAGGACGGACGGCAGAUAUCAUCGUCCGCAUACUACGUUGCAUCCGCCUCUCCGCAGAGACCCUUUUCUGCUCUCCCACAUAGUCGUCCUCGACUCCCCGUCACACGUGCGGCAAUUUUGGGGUUUCUUUACCGGUUUCAGAGGAGAACCAACGAGGCCAUCGGAUCGGGGUUUCACCGAUCGCUCCCGGUUGUUCCGAUCUCUCCUCCUCUUUCAAGAAUCCAUGUUGGAGGCUUCACUUUCUUUGGAUUUUCCGCGGAAAGAUGUACCCGUCUUUCUCGAAGAUGGUGGAGGUGGUUCGGUGGUCGGACACAGACGCAAGCGCCAGGCGCCUGGUUGAUUGCGGUGAUUAUGAUGGGGAUUUGUAUCGAGAGGAUCCUCUGGAGUCCGAAGGUGGGUUUGGGAAUAUCAUUGUGGUGGACAAUCUGCCGGUGAUGCCGCUGGAAAACUUUGCGAAGCUCGAAAGUGUAAGAUGUACAAUCAAGAAACGGGAGGCUCGAAUAUUCAGACGAAUGGACUCUACGUUGGACAAAUCAUAUGCAUGCAGUUGAUCUGUUUGGUGACUUCAAGAAGUACAUGAUGAUCCCAGAUGAGUGGAAAUCUGCUGAAGUUAGAUCAAACAAUCCUGGGUUGUUCUAUGCAAUUUGUUGUUUAUGCCCCUCUUCACUAUUGGACUGAGAGCUCUAUCCAGUGGCCUCUUCUAAUUUUCAUUGUUUGAUGCAUUUUGCCUAUUCUCAGUUUUCAUAGCAUUCCUAAACUUCCACCACUCGAGGAUGCUGUUGAGGAGGCUGAAGUAGAGGACCAGGAUGUCCCCAUGCAAUUGAACGAGCAGUAAGGUAAAAAGAGAUGAUGAUGUGAGGAACAGUGAAAUGAAUCAGGAACCAAACGGAAGCAGUUGCUUUAGGAAGAGAGGUUGCUGAAGGGUUCAGUUGAGGGAUGAAGAUAGAAGGGGGUUAUGUACGCUGGUUGACUUGGUUCAGGAACCAAAAAUUAAUCUCCCUACUCCAUCUUGCAGUAGACGGACGGACUAAUAUGCUGGUUGACUUGGUUCUGGACCAACCACUAGUGUCCAUUUUAAGGAUGGCGCACUCCAUGAACUACAGCGUGGUGCCAUCGUCAUCAUCACUCCAUCAAUCGUGACUUCGCCAUCACGAAGGGCAAUCUCAGAAGUGACGGAGUGGUGCUGGUGAUGGGGGUUGAGGACAAGGUGCCUUCAGUCACAAGACCGACAUGAGAGGGUGGAUGUACGUUGAUGAUCACUACGGUGUCUUCGCUUGCCUUGGCUCUACAUUCUCUUGUUUUUUUGGCGGGUUUUGAAUCAGCGUAUUAGUUUAUUUAAUCGAUUUUAAAACUUAAUAUGUUUCAAAAAUCGAUCGAUCAAGCUAAGUAAAGAGAAUAAAAUUAACUCA